ensembl:misc_RNA
UUGACAACCCUGCAGGCUAAUGUCCUCUAUUUAUCACCAGAACACGUACAGUACACUCAAGUUUUCCUACUCUGCACCAGCAUUGGUCCUUAUCCCUGGCCUGGAUGGAGCAUCUCUAAGGUUGAGAGGGUUGGUCAACCUUCAUGGCCCACUCAGUCCUUGACCUGU